UAGCGAGACUCUGGAAAGUGUCGCUGCCCUCAUCGGGCAGAGGCCGCCGACGGUGUAACUUCGGGUUUGUCCUCAGGGGCGGGUCGAGGGAAGCUCUCAGGUUUCCGUGACAGAGGGGGCACC
rnacentral:ncRNA from 2 species